UUACAGAGUUUGGUAGCUUCAUUUAUGUCGUGAAGAACACCAUAGAUGUCCUUGAUGAGAUUUCCUUUGUUGAUGCCAUGGACAAGUUUGAGGGAAUCCGUUUGCAUGUGAAGGUCUUUGUAGCCAUGUUGGAUUGCAUCCUCCAACGCUGCUCGUAGGGCCAGAGCUUCCGCCAUUAAAGGUGAGCAAACAGAGGAAUCCGUACCUUGUCCUUGAACAACGAGUCGAUCCGAGCUAAGAUAGUCCAUCCCAAUCCUGCCUUCUUAUCUGCAUGUCGCCAAGCUGCAUCCGAUUUGCAGAUCGUUGCUGAGGCGUUGAUCCGAUCUGGAUUUGAGACUUCCAGGGGAUUCGUCGGUUGCGCUUCAGGUGUUAGCUGUGCUGCUCUCCAUUCUCUUGCCGCUGAUAUCGCACGAGAUAUAGUUUCCAUGGAGGAGAUGGUUCGAUUUUCAAAAAUCAGGAGAUUCCUUGCCUUCCAGAUCUGCCAGCAUAUCCACGGAAAGAUCGGGUCCGAUCCAAGUCCACAUGGGGGAAGAGAGAUCAGGGUCUUCCCAGCGAUGAGUCCCGAUUUGAAGUCUGCGAUGGUGGAGGGGGUCAAAGCUUCUCUAGUAGGGUCAGUUAAGAUGUCUCGUUUCAGUAGGUUCGAUCCAACAGGGAGAGCUUCCUGAGUAGCUUUCCAAAGGAAGGUCUUAACUUUUGGAGAGAUAGGGCUUGACCAGAUGUUGGGAAUCCAUCUGAAAGAUCCUUGAUUAGUGCUUGCAGAGGGUAGAUGAUUAUUCUCUGCCAUAGAGGGAUCAGAAUGUUGAUUACUUCUAGGUUCCAAGUCGUGGAGUUGGGAUGCAUCAGGUCAUUCACAGUGAAGUCUUUUGCAUACUGCAGAGCUGGGCCAUAAGGUCUCUGUUGGUGCGAUGAUGAGAGCCAGGGGUCAUUCCAUAGGCUAGUAUCUUUGCCAUUUCCAAUAGCUUUACUGCAAUGCUUUGCUAUAUUUCCCUUGUAGGACUCGGGCGAGUAGACAUUGGGGGGUUUGCAGUAUUCGCCAGCUGAGCUUAGCUAGGAGAGAGUCAUUGAAGCAUUCAACGUCUCUGAAGCCCAGUCCACCAUCUUUCUUUGAUCGGGUGAGUUUGUUCCAUGCUACCCAACUGAUUUUUUUCUGAUCAGGUUUAGAGUCCCACCAAAAACGAGUUAAAGCCGACUGUAUUCUUUUGCAUAAACUCGCAGGUAGCUUGAAGCACGACAUAGUGUAUGAGAAAAUGGCUGAGAGGACAGACUUUAGCAUCGUGAUCUUGCCUGCACUUGACAGAAAUUUCGUUGACCAACCAACGGCCUUUUGUCUGAUUCUGUCCACUAUCAAGGUGAACAAGUCUUUUUUCCUUCUUCCAAAGUAUUCGGGGAGACCCAGAUACUUCCCCUGACCUCCUUGGUUGGCUAUGCCUAAAGUCGUCAUGACUCUAUCCUUUACUUCCUGUGGUGUACGUCCAAAGAAUGUAAUGCUUGACUUGUCUUUGUUUAUCUUUUGUCCCGAAGCAUUUUCAUAUAGAUCUAGGAUCUUGACUAACUCCUCACAGCAGCUUGGCUUUGUUUUGCAAAAAACAUUGUGUCAUCUGCAAAGAGGAGAUGAUUGAUCCUGGGGCUGGCUCGGGAUACUCGAAUACUGCAGAGGUUGCCUUUGGCCUGGGCCAUGUUGCAUAGUCCUGAUAACACUUCUCCACACAAUAUGAAGAUGAAGGGUGAGAGCGGAUCACCUUGUCGGAUGCCUCGUUGAGGGUGGAAACCGAGUCGUGUUAGAACUUUCUCGAUGAAGUCCCAUUCAAGUCUGUCAUAGGCUUUGCUCAUGUCGGUUUUGACCGCCAUGGUGCAGUGUUUCUUAGCCGUAGAUCGCUUAAGGGAGGAUUGGUUGGAGACGCUUGGUAAUGAUCUUGGAGAAUACCUUGUAACCACAUUACAGAGGGCAAUAAGCCGAUAGUCAGCAACAGCUUUGGCACCUUUCUUCUUCGGAAUCAGACGAACAUGAGUAUGGUUCAGGUCAUGAGGGAAGUAUCCUUCUCUGAAGUAGUCUUGGAUUUCCAAACAUAGCUGCUCUUUAAUAGUACCCCAGUUAGACUGGAAAAAACUGGCAGAGAAGCAGUCGGGUCCAGGGGCUUUGUCAGGGUGAAUUGAGAAUAGAGCAUUUCGAAUUUCCUUCAUUGUUGGUAUCGUUAUUAAUUGUUCAUUCAUCUCAUCUGUAAUGCAGGGGUGAAGUGCCCUCUCCACCGUAUCAGAGGAAUCUUGUCAUGAGGAUGUGAACAGAUCCUGAAAGAACAUUGAUAUGGUUUUUGAGAUUUCCUCUUCUUGGAAGACUGCAUUUCCCUCUCCGUUCUCAAUCACCGAGAACCUGUUUAAAGCUCGUCUGCCUUUCGUAAUGGAGUGGAAGUAUGAAGAGUUCUUUGCCUCCAGUAGGCUUCUUCUUUCUGGUAUUCCAGUUGUAGCUCCCCAUUUAUGUCAGCAAUGGUCUGAUUAUUGCCUUGUGUGUCUGACAUGGCCUCCUCCAAUCGCCUUUUCCCUUCUACAAUUGCUUUUUGGCUAUUGUGGUGGUGUUGCUGGUUCCAUUUGGAUAUUGCUUUCCUACAAUCGGAGAUACGCUGUUGAAGAUGUGCUUGAGGUCUUGCAUUCCAUACCUCAGCAAUGAUUCCACCAGUUUUAAAACGAAAAUUUGCUUAUAGAUCAGGGUCAUAUUAAUAAAAAUAAAAAACAGUAGUUAA